CGACAGAGUGAGAUACUGUCUCAAAAAAACAAAAAAUACACACACACAAACACACACACACACACACAUAUAUAUAUAUAUAUACACACACACACACGUAUAUAUCCAUAUGUAUAAUGAUUCAGGUACAGAAUUCGAAAGAAAAGGGCAUUUUAUUUGUACACAUACACGUGUGUGUGUAUGUAUGAAAUGACGCCCUUUCAUGUAAAGGCAGGAAGUUUUAAAGCAAAAAAAUGGAAGGAGACAAGCAAAUACUCCCUUGUGUACCCCCAGAACCACUUAUUCUGGGCCACUAUUUUUUGAGUGGAGGAUGCUUUGUUUAAAGGGUUUGUUUUGUUUUUAUUUUUCAAACUUUAACCUGUCUGUGGACAGAUGCCUGUAGCCAAGAUUUCUGUCUCUUGGGCACAUGAGUAGGAGCCAGUCUGGAAGCUAGUGGGUUUUUCAUUUGAAUUACAAAUCUGCUAUAAAAUCGUCUAAGCUGUACAUUGCAUGGUUUCCUCUUGCAGCUCUCAAAUCGACUAGAAGUGGUGAAGGAAUUUCUGAGAAACAAUUUGGAUCUUAGAAAUGGCCUUACAGAAGAUAUGCAGAAGCUAGACAGCCUCCGUCUACAUCAGAAACUGGAUUCACAGGAACCUGGGAGACAGACACCUGACAGGAAGGCCUGAGGUUGCCUGUCAACAAAAAUCAGGCAUGUUCUGUGAAAGUCAGCAUGGCUUCUGUCUCACACAUCCUUUUCUGUGCAAAAGGAAAAAGUUACCAGACUAUUGUACCCAAACAAAACGGAAUUUUUGUUGUUUUGUCCUGGACUUUCCUCUCUUUGGAACUAUUUUAAUAUUUAUAAACUUGGGGUUGUAUAAUCUAUUGCAAUAAAAAUAUUACUCUUUGCCAAAACUUGCUACCAGGCCAGGCAUGAUGGCUCACACCUGUAAUCCCCAGCACUUUGGGAGGCCCAGGCGGGUGGAUCACCUGAGGCAAGGAGUUCGAGACCAGCCUGGCCAACAUAGCGAAACCCUGUCUCUACUGAAAAAAAAUACAAAAAUUAGCCGGGCGUGGUGACAUGUGCCUAUAAUCCCAGCUACUUACUCGGGAGGCUGAGGCAGGAGAAUCGCUUGAACCUAGGAGGCAGAGGUUGCAGUGAGCUGAGACCAUGCCACUGUACUCCAGCCUGGGCAAUAGAGCGAGAUUCUGUCUCCCAAAAAAACAAAAAACAACAACAAAACUUACUAUCAUCCAGGGAUUUUUUUGCUAUUUAAAAGGUGAAUUUCUUUUCUGGUCCUAAACUGUAACUGCUUAACUUAGUAAAGGCUGUGUUUGGCCAGGCCUGUGCCAAAGGCUUACCUGGAGUGCUCCACCCACUGGCAGGCAAGUCCUAUUCCUAUUCACCCAGGAUGCCCAAGGCUGGGCUGGGAUAUAAAUGCUGGAAUAGGAAAGAAAUAUUUCCUUUUUAGAGGAAAGCAAGAAGAAACAUUGCCUGAAAGGCGAUUUUCUAGUCGUUUCCAAUCAGUACAGAAAUGUUACUGCCUCUGGGUGCAGUGGCUCAUGCCUGUAAUCCCAGCACUGUGGGCGGAUCACUUGAGCCCAGGAGUUCAGUACCAACCUGGGCAAGUUGGCGAGACCCCAUCUCUACAAAAAAGUUAAAAAUUAUCUGGGCAUGGUGGCACACACCUUUAGUCUCAGCCACUCAGGUGGCUGAGGUGGGAGGAUCCCUUAAGCCCAGGUGGUCAAGGCUGUGGUGAGCUAUGAUCAUGCCACUGCACUCCAGCCUGGGUAACAGAACAAGACCCUGUCUCAAGAAAACCCCAAGAAACUAUUACUACUAGGUUGGAGUAGCCUAAGGCAGUAGGGCAAGGAGGUGGGCCCAGACUGGUCUGUGGGGAGCUGGAGAAUGGUGACUCGAGUGACCAGUGGACAGACAGGACCCAGGCCAGCAUCACAAGCAGGGAUGUCAGGCAGGAGCAGGGGAGCUUCUCGCUUGGCAGCUGGUUUAUGGUACACAUUUGAAAAGUAAGCUCCUGGGGCCUGGCCUCACAUGCUCAGUGAAUAUUUGACUGAAGGGCUCCUCUUAGCUUGGGAGUAUUCCCAGGCCUAAAUGUUAGUUAUGCUAUUAACUAAGCCUGGUCCUUCAUUACAAAAUUUAAAAAUGAAAUUGCAACAUUCUUGUGGAAAUUCAAAAACAUCAUCAUUUUCUUUCAACAAAUUCACACAUUCGUUCAUGCUUCUUCUAUACCUUUUACCCCUGAAGUCAUCCACUCCUGACUUCCUCCUGCUGGUUUCCCAAACUGCGCAAUGACUGCCCCAUCGUAGGCAGUGGUCUGUGAAGUCGGCCUCACUUUCACCUUUCCCCACAUCUACUUGUUUCCAAGGCCAGCGGUACUUAACUGGGUUAAGUUUCCUGUGGACCUUCAGGAACAGAAUUGCCAUGUUCCUCGCUGCCUGCAGGAAAGGCUCCAUUCCAAGCCCAGUGAAGGUGUGUGGCUAUCCAGCCGCCUACCAAGGAUGUCAUCUAUAGAAUGGGUGGAGGGCAGGGGUUUAUUUGGUGUACAUUUUUAUGUUAAAAUGCACUUAAUAUCACUUUGUAAAGCCCAGAUGAGUGCAGAUGUGCCUGUAACUUCCUCCUUUAAUCUGUCCAGGUAGUAUUUCAUCUUUAGUCUUACAUUUUCUUUCUCCCUUCAUUUCAUGGAAUUCCUUGAGAAAACUUCAACAGUGAAGAAAGAAAUUUCAUUCAUCUCACAACUCUUCCAAAUGAAGAAACUUAGCGAAAUAUUUCUGAGCUUCUAGAUGUGCAAUACAAAACUUGGGAUCAAAUGGAAUCUUGAUUCAUUAACCAAUUUAAGAUCUGACUUCUAAUUUUAGGAACUUUGGGUUAUGAACGCUUCCAUUUUAUACCUGUGUCUAGUUAGUUUGCCCACAAGCUUUUAUCAAGGGUCCACCAUGUGCCAGCCCCUGAAGUAGAUAUAAAUACAAGGAUGUGUAAGGUAUGGAUGAUGGUAUACGAGCUGUCAUCUUACUGGAUUUGUCCAGUCUGAUAAAGAUACGGUUCCGAAAACUUUUUAAAGCCCCAGAGAGGACUUUAAGGCAACGUAGCAUCAUAUAUAGAGACAUCAACCUGUUGAUAUCUUUCUAUUUAACGGAACUGUGCACCUGGGCACAAGGGUGUGCACAACAGGAUGUGUACAGUAGCACUGUUAAAAUGUAGCACAUUAUACUACAGGACCUUAUGCAACUGUUGGAAAGAAUGAAGCGAUGCUGCACUGUGGUCAUGCAGUGGUCUCUAAGACGUAUUAACUAGAAAAGCAAAAGGCUUAACAAUACAUAGCAGUCAGGUGCGGUGCCUCACGCCUGUAAUCCUAGCACUUUGGGAGGCUGAGAGGGGCGGAUCACCUGAGGUCAGGUGUUUGAGACCAACCUGGCCAACAUGGCGAAACCCUGUCUCUACUAAAAACACAAAAAAGCCGGGCAUGGUGGCACGUGCCUGUAAUCCCAGCUACUCCGCAGGCUGAGGCAGGAGAAUCGCUUGAACUGGGGAGGUGGAGGUUGCAGUGAGCUGAGAUCACACCACUGCACUCCAGCCUGGGUGACAGAGGGAGACUCCGUCUCUAAAAAACAACCAAAAAAACAAAAACAAGAAAACAAUGCAUAGCAAGCUGUAAUGUUGUUUGUGUUUUAGAAUAGUAGAGGUCUGGAAAGUUGUUUGCUUUUCCCCAGUUUUUUUUGCUGUGUUACCUCUGAAGGAAAUUGAGGUAGAGGGGAGAGUUAGAAGGAAUAUUUGGCUUUUCUGUUUUAUAUCCUCCUGGGUGAAAUUUUUAUAACAAACAUGUACUGGUGUAUUUUGAAUGUUUUUAAAAUUUUAUAUUUCAGAAUAAUAAAAUAUAAAUUCAAACUGCAA